rfam:Andreprevotia lacus DSM 23236 genome assembly, contig: BR64DRAFT_scaffold00068.68
GAUCAAGCGAAUAAGUGCAUCUGGUGGAUGCCUUGGCGAUUACAGGCGAUGAAGGACGCGCAAGCCUGCGAAAAGGUUCGGGGAGCUGGCAAUGGAGCUUUGAUCCGGACGUAUCCGAAUGGGGAAACCCACACCUUUUGGUGUAUCCAUGACUGAAUACAUAGGUCAUGUGAAGCGAACUCGGCGAACUGAAACAUCUAAGUAGCCGAAGGAAAAGAAAUCAACCGAGAUUCCCAAAGUAGUGGCGAGCGAAAUGGGAAGAGCCUGUACGUGAUAGUCGUUGUGUUAACCGAACAGUAUGGAAAGGCUGGCCAUAGCGGGUGAUAGCCCCGUAGGUGAAAACACAAUGGUGGUACUAAGCGUACGACAAGUAGGGCGGGACACGAGAAAUCCUGUCUGAAUAUGGGGGGACCAUCCUCCAAGGCUAAAUACUCGUAAUCGACCGAUAGUGAACCAGUACCGUGAGGGAAAGGCGAAAAGAACCCCGGGAGGGGAGUGAAAUAGAACCUGAAACCGGAUGCAUACAAACAGUGGGAGCGGACUUGUUCCGUGACUGCGUACCUUUUGUAUAAUGGGUCAGCGACUUACGUUCAGUAGCAAGCUUAACCGAAUAGGGGAGGCGUAGGGAAACCGAGUCCGAAUAGGGCGUUCAGUUGCUGGGCGUAGACCCGAAACCAAGUGAUCUAUCCAUGGCCAGGAUGAAGGUGCGGUAACACGCACUGGAGGUCCGAACCCACUAGUGUUGCAAAACUAGGGGAUGAGCUGUGGAUAGGGGUGAAAGGCUAAACAAACUUGGAAAUAGCUGGUUCUCCCCGAAAACUAUUUAGGUAGUGCCUCAAGUAUCACUGACGGGGGUAAAGCACUGUUAUGGCUAGGGGGUCAUCGCGACUUACCAAACCAUGGCAAACUCUGAAUACCGUCAAGUGCGAGCUUGGGAGACAGACAUCGGGUGCUAACGUCCGGUGUCAAGAGGGAAACAACCCAGACCGCCAGCUAAGGUCCCAAAUGCAUAGUUAAGUGGAAAACGAGGUGGGAAGGCAUAGACAGCCAGGAUGUUGGCUUAGAAGCAGCCAUCAUUUAAAGAAAGCGUAAUAGCUCACUGGUCGAGUCGUCCUGCGCGGAAGAUGUAACGGGGCUCAAACUAUGAACCGAAGCUGCGGAUAUGUGUUUACACAUAUGGUAGGGGAGCGUUCCGUACGCCUGUGAAGGUGGCUUGUAAAGGCUGCUGGAGGUAUCGGAAGUGCGAAUGCUGACAUGAGUAGCGUUAAAACGGGUGAAAAGCCCGUUCACCGAAAGCCCCAGGUUUCCUACGCAACGUUAAUCGGCGUAGGGUGAGUCGGCCCCUAAGGCGAGGCUGAAAAGCGUAGUCGAUGGAAAACAGGUUAAUAUUCCUGUACCGAUUCUUGGUGCGAUGUGGGGACGGAGAAAGGUAGGUCAGCCGGGUGUUGGAAGUCCCGGUUUAAGCGUGUAGGUGGGGGGUUUAGGCAAAUCCGGA